UACGGAGGGUGCGAGCGUUAUUCGGAAUUACUGGGCGUAAAGCGCGUGCAGGCGGUUGAGUGAGUCUGAUGUGAAAGCCCCGGGCUUAACCUGGGAAGUGCAUUGGAUACUGCUCGACUUGAGUACUGGAGAGGAAGGGAGAAUUCCCGGUGUAGAGGUGAAAUUCGUAGAGAUCGGGAGGAACACCAGUGGCGAAGGCGCCCUUCUGGACAGCUACUGACGCUGAGACGCGAGAGCGUGGGGAGCAAAC
rnacentral:rRNA from 1 species